rnacentral:rRNA from 1 species
CCUACGGGUGACAGCAGUAGGGAAUAUUGCUCAAUGGGGGAAACCCUGAAGCAGCAACGCCGCGUGGGGGAUGAAGGUUUUCGGUUUGUAAACCCCUUUUGUUAGAGAAGAAAAUGACGGUAUCUAACGAAUAAUCACCGGCUAACUCCGUGCCAGCAGCCGCGGUAAUACGGAGGGUGCAAGCGUUACUCGGAGUCACUGGGCGUAAAGAGCGCGUAGGCGGGAUAGCAAGUCAGAUGUGAAAUACUAUGGCUUAACCAUAGAACUGCAUUUGAAACUGUUAGUCUAGAGUAGGGGAGAGGUAGGUGGAAUUCUUGGUGUAGGGGUAAAAUCCGUAGAGAUCAAGAGGAAUACUCAUUGCGAAGGCGACAUGCUAGAACAUAACUGACGCUGAGGCGCGAAAGCGUGGGGAGCAAACAGGAUUAGAUACCCGAGUAGUC